rnacentral:lncRNA from 1 species
UUUUAUUUUUUUUUCUUCUGAGAAAUUCAAAGAAGGUGUGCUUCUUUUGCUGCAGUCGUCGUUGUGCCAACCCUUGCUGAAUCUGUUUUUGUUGUGAUGCAUUGAGGAGUUAGUUGGUGGAGAUGAAUCUCAGAUGUUGUUUGGGAGAGAACAAUCACGUGCCCCAUCCUUUUCCUUUUCUCUUUUUUAUUUUUUUUAAUUCAACAAAUCAAUAGGUGACAUUUUUUAUUUUAUUUUAAAUCUGUAAUUACACAUGUGGUAUGCCAACAAGCGUUGAUUGGGUCAAAAUUGGGCAAAAGGACCAAAAACGCAAAGGGGCUAAAUCUUAGGGGGCCAAAAUUAUAGUUUUUGUACAUAGGGGGCUAAAAUUGCAACUUUUUAAAAGUUAGGGGGGAAAGUGCACUU